UGAAAAAUCAGUGUCUUCGCUUUUGAUGAGAACGUGAGUCAGCUAUAGGAGACAGAAAAUUUUCUUCUUCUUGCCUGCAGAUUGUCAAGAAACCAUAAACAUGUUAGUCAAGGAUCAAGAUUGCAUCAUUUUAGGUCCAUUAAAAAAUCCAGCAAUAAUACCUGCAGCACCAAGAAAAUAUGGAAGAUCUGUGGAGAGUGAGGGUUCAGUGAAGUUAUAAUACAGUUGGAAAUUUAAGCUCUCAUGGCCAGUGAUGUCCUCCUGGCUUAUACCUCUUCAAGGUCACAUGAGUAAAGAUUGCCACAAGCUACUGGGACUACCUACCUAUCAAUAACAUGCACUUGGAGGUGGAAUUAAGGAUACAUUUACAAUCUUACUGAGUAUAUAUUCUCAUUUUGCAUGCUUAAUUGAACAAAUCAAAUCCUAGGAAUGUUGAUUUGCAUGCACUAUAUGUCUGAUAACAUAAAACAGAUAAAUCUCAAAAACAUUCAC